AACGAACGCUGGCGGCAGGCUUAACACAUGCAAGUCGAACGCCCCGCCAGGGGAGUGGCAGAAGGGUGAGUAACGCGUGGGAACAUACCCUUUCCUGCGGAAUAGCUCCGGGAAACUGGAAUUAAUACCGCAUACGCCCUACGGGGGAAAGAUUUAUCGGGGAAGGAUUGGCCCGCGUUGGAUUAGCUAGUUGGUGGGGUAAAGGCCUACCAAGGCGACGAUCCAUAGCUGGUCUGAGAGGAUGAUCAGCCACAUUGGGACUGAGACACGGCCCAAACUCCUACGGGAGGCAGCAGUGGGGAAUAUUGGACAAUGGGCGCAAGCCUGAUCCAGCCAUGCCGCGUGAGUGAUGAAGGCCUUAGGGUUGUAAAGCUCUUUCACCGAUGAAGAUAAUGACGGUAGUCGGAGAAGAAGCCCCGGCUAACUUCGUG
rnacentral:rRNA from 1 species